UUGAAACUACCUGAUGUCUAACGCGAUGACUGCUUGUAGUCUUUUUCAAUACGCCUGACAAAAGUCAAAUUUCUGUUGGUGGUUCGCCAAUGCAUGAUGUUAGGCUAGACUGGAAUGUGGUACUGAAAAUAAUGGAUCUGUUGCCAGCUCAGAAUAUCUGAAACGGCGUACCUACCUUGCAGGGAGUUAAAGAUGCAGAAGAGGUACUGCAUGGGCACACUGAGCGCCCCGUAGCUGAGGAAGGCCAGGCCCCAGGUGCUGCCCAGCAGACAGAGCACAAACCUGAGGAUGACGUGAGUCAGGAUCGCCGCGGCAGUAAAGAAUGCUGAGAGAGAGCAGCCCACGUAACUGAUAAUAGACUGGAUUUCCCAGCUCGCCAAGUCUAUGCUGUCUGUCGGGACCUUAGAGCAAGAAAACAAAAUGGAUGGGUGGGGAGGCACAGUUAUACUGACUGGUUCAUCUUUGAUUGAUUCGUUCACUGAUUGUGUGUUUGUGUGUGUGUGUGUGCAUGUGUGUGUUAUGUGUGCACCUAUGUUAAUAUAUUUGUAUCCUUGCGCACCAUGUUAACAAUAUUUAAUUCCAUUACAAUUGGACAUAUGAACUCUGUCAAAGCACACACAAUUAAUUACAAAAAUCUAAAUAAAGACAAAAUUACUACAUGAAUGAUUGAUUGAUUGAGUAAUUGAUUUACUGAUUUUGUGGAUUGGAUUCUCACCAGGAGCACUGUGAAAGGGGUCAUGUGGUCACAGGUGCAAAAGAUGCCACUCUCAUUCUUGGUGGUUUUGCAGCCCUGCUUACUCCAGUCAUUGUUGCUCCUAGCUGAAUUUAAAAAACAGAGUCGACUAUUGUAAUGUUCUCUCAGACCUGCAAGGUUACUGUGUUCCCUCGUUGAGCUAUUGGGUCUCUUGGGAAACAAUGAGCUACACUCUUCCUGCCUGUAGACCUGUCCCUCAUUACAUUACAGUAGUUAUUUGGCUUAUCCAAGGCGACUUACAGUUGUCUAAGCAGGCGUGUGAGGUUUUUUAUCUAGGCCCUCCAAAAGCGUUGGGACGGCUCAGAUCGGGUUCUACUAAUCAGGUGAAUGUGGCCCAAUUCUAUGAAAUUCUAUGGGUUGAAACUAUGAAAUCUCUGUUGUUAUUUGCUGUUUAGACUGUGAACAGUAUUGUGUAACAAAAAAGUAAUCCAGGCAAAUGUCACUUAUAGCCCUUCACCGAGAGGAAGGGUGGUUGAGCUUCUGCUGCAAAAUCAGAAAUUUAGUCAUAAGGGAUUUUUAAAAACAAUUCCCACGGUAAUAGGGAAUGUCAAAUUGUCUGCAACCACAGCCAUGUUCAUGUGCCAAUUCAGCAGUGUGGACAUCCAAGUGUGGUCUUACCAGCAGCUGCUGUUCACACCACAGACUACUGCUGAGCUUGCAUAGAGCAGAGUCAGAGAAAGGCUCAUCUGCCACUUCAGCAUGCAGUUGAUGGGAACCCAACCAACCAACAGGGGGAUGCUAGAUAAUGAACUAGCAUGGGCCCUCAACCCUCCAAGACUGCGGGGCUCCACCACAGCAUGGGACCUUAACCAAAAGACACUCACCUUGCUCAUCAUAAAACUGGCACUCCAGGGCAUGAUCUGCCUGUGAAAAGAGACGGUAUGGUGUAAGGGUGGAAAUACUCUUGGUGACCACAGGUGCAGAGUGCUGAAUUGGACCAAGCACCAUGUAAAGAUACUUGCCUGAUGUGCAGACGAGUUUAAAAUCUGGAACAUCAUCAUUAGUGGCUCCUCCAGAUUUUGUGUGUAUUCUUCUUCGAGCAGCUCUACCCGAAUUAACAUGCUCUGAAGUCUUUCCCUGUUGAACUGUAUGGACGUGGGAGAAGAAGGGGUUGAUUUAACUAUGUCAAAAACCAAAUCAAAUCAUCUUUCCCAUGUCAAAAUCAUUUAACCCUGCUAGUAUGUGAAGAGUUUAUGACCGCUUUUAAUUUUGGUGUCUAAUUGAGCCCAAUAGUUUAAAUAAACACAAUUAUUAUAAUAGAAAUGUUUUGACACAUUGGUUGUUGCCUUCUUAUUUUUUCCAAAAAUCAUACAGUAUCAAUAUGAAACAAGGUUAACUGAUUUUUAAGAGAUGUCAUACACUGAAUUGGGUCAAAUUGACCCCAAACAUAAUAGGAGGGUUACAUAUGCAUAUAAAAAAGGGCCUGUCCGUCCAAUAUUGGUGUAAGGAGUCUGUCCUUUAACUUCAUAUUCAAAAUAAAGAAAAGCUGUGUCACUGUCCAAAUACUUAUGGACUGCACUGUAUAUAAACUCACCGAGCACUUUAUUAGGUAUUUAUUAGACUUAUUUUUUAGACUUCUACUGCUGGAGCCUAUCGAGUUAUGAUCCGUUGUGUGUUCAGAGAUGCUCUUCUGCAUACCACUGUUGUAAGUGCUUAUUUGCAUUACUCUCACCUUCCUGUCAGCUUUGACCAGUCUGGCCCUUCUCCUCUGACGUCUCACAUUAACAAGGUGUUUCUGUCUGCAGAACUGCUGCUCACUGUUUUUCAUUUUGUUAGUUUUUUCCCUAUUCUGAUGGUUGAUGUGAAUAUUAACUGAAGCUCCUGACCCAUAUCUACAUGAUUGUAUGCAUUGCACUGCUGCCACACAAUUGAAUGAUUAGAUAAUCGCAUGAAUUAGUAGGUGUAAUAAAAUAAAAAUGUUCCUAAUAAAGUGCUCUGUGAGUAUAUCUUGUGUAUGCAGAUGUGCGUGCAUGUGUUGAGGCGAGCUGUCUGUGUGGUUAAUUUAUUUUGAGGCCUUCAGCAUCAAAUAGGUCAAAUGUAAAUGCUAUAGUUUAAGGAGAGACAGCACAAAGUAGCGUACCACAAAGUGGUCUGGGCUUCGAUAUGACACCACUGCCACUUUUCGCUUCUCCUCUGGAAUUUUCUCAAAGAUCUUGGUCGGUAUCCAUGUUUCUGGUGUACAGUCUAUAUCUUCAUAAGAGAGCUGUGGGAAAUUCAGCGAAUAUCUUGAACUGUUAAAAAAACUACAUGAGUGAUCACCAAGAUCUUCUCUACCAUGCAAACAUUGGCCACCAUGCUCAUCCACGUAUUUUCUCCACUUUUUUCUACUCCUAGUUCCACCCAUCAGGAAAGGCUAGAAAAAGAGGCUAGAAAUAGAAGUGAAGACGGGGAAUUCUUAAAAAACGUGAAUUAGGCAAAUGAAAAGUCUUUGCUCCUUCAAAUGUCAGCCUAAAGCCCCAUCAGUUACGGACUUGGCAGACGCGUUGGGAGAAAUGGGCCUACAUGUCAAUCAUUUGUGCGCUUUUCGAAAAAAUACUUCCGCAAAAAGGAUGCGCUGAUGUAUCCUUGCUCAAAGGAAAGCGCGGGAGAUCCUAACUUCUACUUCUAGCUCCUAAAAGGAACAUUUAAAAUCUUUGGGAUGUCCUUAAAGAUGGCGGCCCUUAAUAAGUGAUUUGAAUGAGCCUCUAGUCUUGGGAGGCCCGUGUUGUUAGCAUGUCGUAUACAGCACCAGUGCCCGUAGGCAGUACCCAGAUCUGUAACAAAAUAUCACAGAAUUGAAAAUUCAGAAAGCUGUCGUCCUACCAGAGGUGCACGAAUGUGCAUGUACUUCUCAGUCCGGGAAAGGCUACUCAAAUUCGCCUUCGUCACUUUCACUGCCAGGUCUGUCAGGUUGAAAAUGAGUUCCUCUCCGUCGCUGGAAAUCUGCAUUAUCACCUUUAUCAGGUUUAAUUCAACUCUGUAGAACACAAGACUUGUACCAUUAAGUCAUAAUGGCGUCCUCAGAGUAUAAUCUUUUUGCUAUCCAUUUGUUACUUACCCUAUGUAGGCUCUCUUUACUUCUGAAAUAUUGAACAAGUGGCAGCACAUGUUUUUCAUAUUCAAUGCUGUCUUCAAAUCUCUGACUUCCUGAUGCCUUGGACCCGUUUUUGUUUUUAAUAAAGAGAUAAAUGGAUCAAUCAAGCACUUGGUGAUUUCACAUUCCAAUAACCCUGGGUGACAACAUACGUAAGAAUGAGAUUCAUGUUUUUCUUAGCUUUUUUUGAGACCAAGGACACAAAGGUCUCAGCUUAGCACAUGAUUUAAAUGACAGAAAAAAACACUGAAAGAUAUCAUACCAGCUGUGAUGUUGAAGGCAACAAGUGCAGAAAUGUUUUUUUUGUUUAGGUUUGCAUUUUCAGUGAAGUUGAUGGAAAAAGUGGCAUUAGCGCACUCUACAUAACAGGAGUCAUUCCCCCAUCUGCAGGUGAAGCCAUUUUUCAUGCUGUCUAUGAUGGUGAUGUCAUUGAAUAACUUCAUAGACAUUUCACUGACGGUCUUGUUGAAUGUCAUUGUAAUAUCCGGUGGGACUAGAGGAAAAUAAUUAUGGAAUUAAACAGAAGAGUGGAACAGGACUGUGCAAAAAUGUAUUACUGUAUGUUACUUAUGUAACAUGUAACAUAUCUGGAAGGUGUAUUCAUAUGUUCUACAACGUGAAGAGACCUGGGUUAACAAAGUGAAGACCAAAUGUAAUUCCGAGGUGGACGACUAAUAUAUACAGACAACGGCUGCAUCUCAAAGGAAUGCAAAAGAAUGCCACCAUCUCAGGUAGUAUUCUAAGGCAGGAAGGCAUCGAGUGCCGUCGCAUUGCAAAGUGUGCAAAAAAGUAUGCCUUCUAUACUCACUGUAUAAGUUGAUCAAGAGUUUCCUGCUUUAAAAACCUCACCAUGCCCCUACCCAUGGAAAAAGCUUGCAGGCAAUUUAAAAUAGCAGUUUUUAUGUCCAGAAAGUCUUUUCCUUUAAGUGCUUUUAGCUGCAUAUAAUUAAUUGUGCUGUAGCUACAGAUACAAUGUAAUAUUAUUAUUAUUAUUAUUAUUAUUAUUAUUAUUAUUAUUAUUAUUAUUACCUCCUUUGACAAGCACCACCAACAGAAAGACCGCAAUUAUGGGAAGUCUCCUUCGGAUCAUCCUGUUUGCUGACUUUCCUGUAAAACUGUGAGGACAUAGUUCAUUUUCUCAGCUUGAGAAGGCAUUAAAAGUUAAUAAUAUUUAUGUAAAGAUACAGGCUAUAGCUUUGAAUGUGAAUAGUUUAUUGAGAAAAUACAAGAAUUUAAUUAAUAAUUGCACAAAAAAUAAUUAAAGACUAUGCAUACACAUUCCACCUCAAAAUAACGUAUAUUCUGAUAAAUUAAAUAUUUCCAUAACAACAUGUUAUGGGGUUGAGCUCAUCUGUUACUUAUAGGCUUCCAUGAACUGUGAAAACAAUGGGCUCUUUCAUCUGCGGCCACAAACUCAAAGCGAGAUUGCAGUUAGACGCAGAAAUCAUCGGGCAACGUUGCAGACAUGUGUUUUGCUCAGAGCAGUAGCUUAAUCCUGCUUCAUGAUACAGCCCCCUGUAUUUGCCGUGGACUGUACCAGUGUGUUUGGUAGCCUACAAGCAAGCAUACAACAGCACAGAAGUCUAUAACAACACGCUUGUGAGGGUCUGAUGAUGAUUAAAUUCAAAAUAGUUGGUGAAUGAGCCGACAGCAACUUACAUCUGGCACAGACAGUGUACUAUACUUCUUACUUUACCCAAAUGCUAGGCUAAUUAUCUAGAGCUGGUGUUUUCAACCUUUCUUGGUCCAGGGUUUUAUGUUUUAAAAUCGUUAUGGUACAGUUGACAACAGCUAAAAUAAAUUGCACAAUGCCUGGAUAAUUCUUGUUGGACACUUAAAAAAAUUCUGGUCUUUUUAUGCUUAUGCUUUACAUCCAGGAGACACCCCACACCAGAUGAACUCGAUAUUAAGAUAUUAAGAUAUUAAAUAAAUUAUGAGAUGACUGAAGUCAAACAGAUGGCAGAAGUCAAAUAAUUAGGUCUUAAGUUCGAUCCCCAAUUUAAAUUUGACAAGCAUGUUAAAGAAUUGAGGAAAACUGUAAAAGUGCAUCCAUACUCUCACCGAGCACUUUAUUAGGAACAUUUUAAAUUUAUUACACCUACUUAUUCAUGCGAUUAUCUAAUCAGCCAAUUAUAUGGCAGCAGUGCAAUGCAUACAAUCAGAUACGGGUCAGGAGCUUCAGUUAAUGUUCACAUCAACCAUCAGAAUGGGGGAAAAAUGUGAUCUAAGUUACUUUGACUGUGGAAUGAUUGUUGGUGGUUUGAGUAUCUCAGAAACUGCUGAUUUCCUGGGGUUUUUACAGAGUUUGCAAGGAAUGGUGCAAAAUACAAAAGAAAUCCAGUGAACAGCAGUUCUGCAGACAGAAACGUCUUGUUAAUGAGAGAUGACAGAGGAGAAUGGCCAGACUGGUCGAAGCUGACAGGAAGCUGACAGGAAGGUGACAGUAACCAAAUAACCACUCAUUACAACAGUGGUAUGCAGUAGAGCAUCUCUGAACACACAUUACAUUACAUUAAUGGCAUUUGGCAGAUGCUCUUAUCCAGAGCGAUGUACAGUUGAUUAGAUUAAGUUGGAGAGGGUCCCAGUCAUGUACCUUAACCAUUACACUACAGGCCCAUCACACACAACGUAUCAUAACUCUUAGUGGAUAGGCUACAGCAGUAAUAGUCUAAAAAAGAAGUCCUAAUAUAGUGCUCAGUGAGUGUAUACAUGUAUAUACUAAUUAGACUUUCAGCCAUUUGAUACAGCACAUUUAUAUAUGCACUCUAUGAUUUUCUUGAAUUUCGGAAAUUUGGUCAUGAGUAUAGCUACCCCUUAAUGUUACCCCUUAAUGUUUUAAAUUUUGAUAACUUCAGCACCAGUAUUUUCUAUCAAGAGAGUUAGUAUAUGUUGCUGUGCAGUUUGAAAUUUAGCAUCAUUUGGAACAUUUUACGUUUCUGAAAUCCGGUCAGUCGUGUAAACAUUCAUGACCAUGUAUUGGAAUUUGGCAGGAUUUUUUAUUUUUAUUUUUUAUUAUUUUCUUACUUGUUGUAGUAUUUGUACUUGUACCGGUAAUGUAUUUUAUGAUUGCUAAUUUGCUAAAUGCUAAAUUAGCUAAAUUAUUGAUAGUGUUGUAUGUGUGUUUUAAAGGCCUGUCUAGGGACAAGCGUUGAAAAUAAAUGUAUGCUAUAAAUGCUGUGAUACAUUGCAUUGGAUUUGUUUUCACUAAUCUAUGUUAAAUGUUUCUGUUCCUAUCAAAUAAACAUUACAUAUUUUCCAAAAA